AGUAAAUGAUGACAGUCCAUUGGUCCGUGUUCCUGAACUAUAUGAUUUUCCUUGGCUAUUCUGAUACU
ensembl:snoRNA Gm23344 small nucleolar RNA SNORD18